GACAGAGGGUGCAAACGUUGCUCGGAAUUACUGGGCGUAAAGCGCGUGUAGGCGGACCACCAAGUCGGACGUGAAAGCCCUGAGCUCAACUCAGGAACUGCAUCCGAAACUGGCGGUCUGGAGUAGUGGAGAGGAAAGCAGAAUUCCUGGUGUAGAGGUGAAAUUCGUAGAUAUCAGGAGGAACACCGGUGGCGAAGGCGGAUCUCUGGGCCUGUUCUGACGCUGAGGCGCGAAAGCUAGGGGAGCGAACAGG
rnacentral:rRNA from 1 species